rnacentral:tRNA from 1 species
GGCCUGAUGGUCUAGUAGUACUAGUAUGAUUCCUUGUUAGGGUCGAGGAGGUCCUGGGUUCAAUUCCCAGUCAGGCCC